rnacentral:ncRNA from 2 species
AAUACUCCCGAGGGCGAUGGUCCUUCCAAAUGAAGGUGAAAAGGGAACGCGGUGCGGACGAUCCGUCCAAGGCCGCGGCUGCCCCCGCAACUGUAAGCGGAAAGUCCUCAUCACGACGCCACUGGCGAGGGUCGCGCGCGGCCCAGCCGGGAAGGCGAUGGGAACGUUCGAUCCGCAAGCCAGGAGACCUGCCAUCGACAACUGAUCGCG